rnacentral:rRNA from 1 species
GAUCAAGUGUCUUAAGGGCAAUUGGUGGAUGCCUUGGCAUGCACAGGCGAUGAAGGACGUGAUACGCUGCGAUAAGCUACGGGGAGGUGCGAAUACCCUUUGAUCCGUAGAUUUCCGAAUGGGGAAACCCACCUAAGGUGCUUGGAAAAUCAGAGCAGCCAGUGGUCGAAAGGCCGACUUGCUGCUGUGGUUUCCAAGGAUCUGUAAUAGGUAACUUAUCCUGAAUACAUAGGGAUAAAGUGGCGAACGCGGGGAACUGAAACAUCUAAGUACCCGUAGGAAAGGACAUCAACCGAGACUCCGGCAGUAGUGGCGAGCGAACCCGGACCAGGCCAGUGGCGAUGAUGAGACAAGCGGAACCUUCUGGAAAGUAGGGCCAUAGUGGGUGACAGCCCCGUACGCGUAAUGCAAAUCAUCGUCCUCGAGUAAGGCGGGACACGUGAAAUCCUGUCUGAAAUUGGGGGGACCACCCUCCAAGCCUAAGUACUCGUGCAUGACCGAUAGCGAACUAGUACCGUGAGGGAAAGGUGAAAAGCACCCCGACAAGGGGAGUGAAAGAGUACCUGAAACCGAUUGCCUACAAACAGUGGGAGUCCAAGGUUCGUCCUGGGUGACCACGUACCUUUUGUAUAAUGGGUCAGCGACUUAGUGUGACGAGCAAGCUUAAACCGCUAGGUGUAGGCGCAGCGAAAGCGAGUCUGAACAGGGCGUUCAGUUCGUCGCAUUAGACCCGAAACCGAGUGAUCUAGCCAUGAGCAGGUUGAAGGUAAGGUAACACUUACUGGAGGACCGAACCCAUAACUGUUGCAAUAGUUCGGGAUGACUUGUGGCUAGGGGUGAAAGGCCAAUCAAACUCGGAAAUAGCUGGUUCUCCGCGAAAUCUAUUUAGGUAGAGCGUCGACCGAAUACCCCAGGGGGUAGAGCACUGGAUGGGCUAGGGGUCCUCACCGGAUUACCAAACCUAACCAAACUCCGAAUACCUGGGAGUACUAGUCGGCAGACACACGGCGGGUGCUAACGUCCGUCGUGAAAAGGGAAACAACCCUGACCUACAGCUAAGGUCCCCAAGUUAUGGCUAAGUGGGAAAGGAUGUGAGGAUCCCAAAACAACCAGGAUGUUGGCUUAGAAGCAGCCAUCAUUUAAAGAAAGCGUAACAGCUCACUGGUCUAAAUAAGGGUCUUUGCGCCGAAAAUGUAACGGGGCUCAAGCCAUACACCGAAGCUUAGGGUGGCGAUAAUCCUUCGGGAUUACGCUGCGGUAGCGGAGCGUUCUGUAAGCUGAUGAAGCCAUACCCGUGAGGGGUGGUGGAGGUAUCAGAAGUGCGAAUGCUGACAUGAGUAACGUAAGGGGAGUGAGAGACUCCCCCGCCGAAAGUCCAAGGGUUCCUGCUUAAAGCUAAUCUGAGCAGGGUUAGCCGGCCCCUAAGUCGAGGCAGAAAUGCGUAGACGAUGGGAACCACGUUAAUAUUCGUGGGCCUGGAGGAAGUGACGGAUCAUUGAGGUAGUCCAAUCUUAUCGGAUUGAACGGGCUGCUGCGUGGUUCCAGGAAAUAGCUCCUCCUUAUAGACCGUACCCGAAACCGACACUGGUGGACUGGUAGAGUAUACCAAGGCGCUUGAGAGAACUAUGCUGAAGGAACUCGGCAAAUUGCACGCGUAACUUCGGAAGAAGCGUGACCCUUUUCCACGCAAGUGGAGGAGGGUGGCACAGACCAGGGGGUAGCGACUGUUUAUCAAAAACACAGGGCUCUGCGAAGUCGCAAGACGACGUAUAGGGUCUGACGCCUGCCCGGUGCUGGAAGGUUAAGAGGAGGGGUGCAAGCUCUGAAUCGAAGCCCCAGUAAACGGCGGCCGUAACUAUAACGGUCCUAAGGUAGCGAAAUUCCUUGUCGGGUAAGUUCCGACCUGCACGAAUGGCGUAACGACUUCCCCGCUGUCUCCAGCAUAGACUCAGUGAAAUUGAAUUCCCCGUGAAGAUGCGGGGUUCCUGCGGUUAGACGGAAAGACCCCGUGCACCUUUACUAUAGCUUUACAUUGGCAUUCGUAGUGGCAUGUGUAGGAUAGGUGGUAGGCUUUGAAACCUGGGCGCCAGCUCAGGUGGAGCCACCCUUGAAAUACCACCCUUAUCACUAUGGAUGUCUAACCGCGGCCCGUCAUCCGGGUCCGGGACAAUGUAUGGUGGGUAGUUUGACUGGGGCGGUCGCCUCCUAAAGAGUAACGGAGGCGCGCGAUGGUGGGCUCAGAACGGUCGGAAAUCGUUCGCUGAGUGCAAUGGCAUAAGCCUGCCUGACUGCGAGACUGACAAGUCGAGCAGAGACGAAAGUCGGUCAUAGUGAUCCGGUGGUCCCGCGUGGAAGGGCCAUCGCUCAACGGAUAAAAGGUACGCCGGGGAUAACAGGCUGAUGACCCCCAAGAGUCCAUAUCGACGGGGUUGUUUGGCACCUCGAUGUCGACUCAUCGCAUCCUGGGGCUGGAGCAGGUCCCAAGGGUAUGGCUGUUCGCCAUUUAAAGCGGUACGUGAGUUGGGUUCAGAACGUCGUGAGACAGUUCGGUCCCUAUCUGCCGUGGGUGUAGGAAUAUUGAAAGGAUCUGUCCCUAGUACGAGAGGACCGGGAUGGACGGAUCUCUGGUGGACCUGUUGUGGCGCCAGCCGCAUAGCAGGGUAGCUAUAUCCGGACGGGAUAACCGCUGAAGGCAUCUAAGCGGGAAACCCACCUUAAAACGAGUAUUCCCUGAGAACCGUGGAAGACGACCACGUUGAUAGGCCGGGUGUGGAAGAGCGGCAACGCUUGAAGCUUACCGGUACUAAUAGUUCGAUCGGCUUGAUCGUUCUCAUU